AGCAGCCGCGGUAAUUCCAGCUCCAAUAGCGUAUAUUAAAGUUGUUGCAGUUAAAAAGCUCGUAGUUGAAUUUCGGGGUCAGCAGGUUGGUCGUGCCUCUGGUACGCACUGGUUUCGCUGAUUCCUCCUUUCUGAAGAACUGUAAUGUCAUUAAUUUGGUGUUGCAGGGAAACAGGACUGUUACUUUGAAAAAAUUAGAGUGUUUAAAGCAAGCUAACGCUUGAAUACAUUAGCAUGGAAUAAUGAAAUAGGACGUUUGAUCCUAUUUUGUUGGUUUCUAGGAUUGACGUAAUGAUUAAUAGGGAUAGUUGGGGGCAUUAGUAUUCAAUUGUCAGAGGUGAAAUUCUUGGAUUUAUUGAAGACUAACUACUGCGAAAGCAUUUGCCAAGGAUGUUUUCAUUAAUCAAGAACGAAAGUUAGGGGAUCGAAGACGAUCAGAUACCGUCGUAGUCUUAACCAUAAACUAUACCGACUAGGGAUCGGAUGAUGUUAAUUUUUAAUGUACUCAUUCGGCGCCUUA
rnacentral:rRNA from 1 species